AUGGCUGCCGCCGGCCAGGCGGAAGAGAGCUUGAUUCAGCCGGCGGCAGCGGGGUCCAAGUCUCCGUCAGAGGCGUCGCCGCCCGCAGCUCCCCUGCCGAGGAAGCCCCGGAGGUGUGUGGUGUACCCGCACCCGCCGCGGAGCUCGCGCCUGUCGCGCUCCGUGCUGCGCUGGCUGCAGAGCCUGGAUCUCAGCUUCUUCCCCAGGAACGUGCACAGGGAUUUUUCAAAUGGCUACCUGGUUGCAGAAAUAUUAUGCAUAUAUUUCCCCUGGGACCUUAGAUUAACAUCCUUUCAAAACGGAACCUCUUUAAAAGUCAAGUUGGAUAACUGGGCACAGAUAGAGAAGUUUCUAGCCAAAAAAAAGCUCAAGUUACCUAAAGAACUAAUCCAUGGAACAAUUCACUGCAAAGUUGGAGUGCCUGAAAUAUUGAUACAAGAGGUUUAUACUUUACUAACACAUCGAAAAAUUAAGAGUAUCCAGGAUGACUUUGCGAAUUUCACCGACUAUAGUUACCAGAUGUGUCUACCCCUGGUUCCCAGGUCUACAGCUUCAAAGACUAUUAAAGAUAAUAUUAGGCUAUCAGAAUUAUUAAGUAAUCCCAAUAUGCUCAGCAAUGAACUUAAGAUAGAGUUCCUCAUCCUUUUACACAUGUUGCGAAGAAAAUUAAGCAGGAAAAUGAAUCCAGGAUGGUUUGAUGUCAAACCAACAGUGGGAGAAAAGACUCUUGAUCAUCUUCCUGCUCCAGGAUUUGGGCUCAAACAUUCAAAGAUUUUAAGGGAAAAGGUUCCUUCUGUCUUAUCUGGAUGUUCUGACUCAGUAAUGUGAAACUAACUAUAAAACCCAAUAAUGCUGAAUAAUAGAGUGACAGAGAACACUUAACUGUAAUGCUGAUUAUUUAAUCCUGGAUGACAAAUACAAAGGCACCAUUAGAAGAAACAGUAAAAAGGAGAUUUGAAACAAUACCUAUUGAUGUCUGGAAGCUAUCCUGCAACCAUAGGAAGCACAAGAGAAAGAAAAGGAGCAAGAAUCUCAGAGGGGAAAGACAGGAAGAAUCCAGGUCCUUGAUAGAAUCAGUGAACAACUUCAACAGUUCUAAGACGCUUCUCUAAUGUUGUCUGAUAAGACUAACAUACCUCGAGUAUUUUCAGCUAGUAUUAGGAUCCCUGUUAUAUAUAUGCCUAAUGUAUUUGUAAUUCAUAUACUUGUUGCUUUUUUACAAAGCAUAUGCUGAGUGAAUGAAUGGAUGCUCAUAAAAAUACAUUUGGUAUGUUCUGAUCUAUGUAGACACUAUCAAAGCAGAAAGAAUCUCUCCAACAUGAUAAAAUAAAAUCAAUUUUUACCUUGUGUAUUCAUAAAGUGCUGGAACAAUGCUUUGAUACUGUCUUCUGAUAGCCAAUAAUGCACCAACAUAGCCACACAAUAUAAGUAAUUCAUUUCUAGCUCUAAAAGACAAUAUGAAACAUAGAACAUUAUGCUCUCAUAUAUAAUUCAUGAAAUUGUGUUCAUUUUC